CGGAGCGACCGCCGGCUGCCGAGAUAGUCUGCGGGAAUCACACAAAGCAUUUCACUUUGUAGCGCGAGACGUCGAAGGCUUGAGGCUUUUUGUUUGAAUUAAUUUUUUAAAUACGUGGGAGUGGGGACCACUCAGGAACCGUCAAUACGAACUUGUAAGUGAAAAAAAAAAGAGGAUUGAUACAGAUCACUACCCGAUUAAUCAAAAAGACAGUGGAAGUAUCUCUAAAGCUCCUGGGGAAACGUACCUUGGAACGAAACCUUUACACAUAAAGAUCUGAACCGAGGACGACGUUGACGGAGGAAUUUGUGUCUGGUUGGAGGAAGGGAUACAACCAGAGAGGGAAAGAGGUUCAUGCUAGGCGCCUCGUGACCGUUCGUUGCCCGUUCUCCUUCGGUUAGCUGCCAAGACUGAGAUUAUAUACCAAUGAAAGACGUUGUUCUAGCCUUCUUCAUAGCCGCAAUUUGCUGUCUGUGUGAAUGUGGGGAAUGUCUCCAGAUAACCCAGCUGACAGUGCCGCGCGUGGUUCGAAGCGGCAGCCGUGUCAAUUUCUCUUGCGGCUUCGACCUCACAGACGAAAAGCUUUAUUCGCUCACGUGGUGGAAAGAUAACCAAACUUUCUUCAGUUACCUCCCGAGUAGAAGUCAU